UACGUAGGGGGCUAGCGUUGUCCGGAUUUAUUGGGCGUAAAGAGCGCGUAGGCGGCCGAGUAAGUCCGACGUGAAAUCUGGAGGCUCAACCUCCAGCGGUCGUUGGAAACUACUCGGCUAGAGUCCGGAAGAGGAGAGUGGAAUUCCUGGUGUAGCGGUGAAAUGCGCAGAUAUCAGGAAGAACACCGAUGGCGAAAGCAGCUCUCUGGGACGGUACUGACGCUGAGGCACGAAAGCGUGGGGAGCGAACAGG
rnacentral:rRNA from 1 species